UGCGCAGGCGGCUUACUAAGUCAGUGGUGAAAUCUUGCGGCUCAACCGUAAAAUUGCCAUUGAUACUGGUAAGCUUGAAUUCAGUUGAGGUUGGCGGAAUGUGUAAUGUAGCGGUGAAAUGCUUAGAUAUUACACAGAACACCGAUUGCGAAGGCAGCUAACUAAACUGAUAUUGACGCUGAGGCACGAAAGCGUGGGGAGCGAACAGGAUUAGAUACCCUGGUAGUCC
rnacentral:rRNA from 1 species